rnacentral:rRNA from 1 species
GAUGAACGCUGGCGGCGUGCCUAAUACAUGCAAGUCGAGCGAACGGACGAGAAGCUUGCUUCUCUGAUGUUAGCGGCGGACGGGUGAGUAACACGUGGAUAACCUACCUAUAAGACUGGGAUAACUUCGGGAAACCGGAGCUAAUACCGGAUAAUAUUUUGAACCGCAUGGUUCAAAAGUGAAAGACGGUCUUGCUGUCACUUAUAGAUGGAUCCGCGCUGCAUUAGCUAGUUGGUAAGGUAACGGCUUACCAAGGCAACGAUGCAUAGCCGACCUGAGAGGGUGAUAGGCCACACUGGAACUGAGACACGGUCCAGGCUCCUGCGGGAGGCAGCAGUAGGGAAUCUUCCGCAAUGGGCGGAAGCCUGACGGAGCAACGCCGCGUGAGUGAUGAAGGUCUUCGGAUCGUAAAACUCUGUUAUUAGGGAAGAACAUAUGUGUAAGUAACUGUGCACAUCUUGACGGUACCUAAUCAGAAAGCCACGGCUAACUACGUG